rnacentral:rRNA from 1 species
UGUUAGUGGAAGCGUCUGGAAAGGCGCGCGAUACAGGGUGACAGCCCCGUACACAAAAAUGCACAUGCUGUGAGCUCGAUGAGUAGGGCGGGACACGUGGUAUCCUGUCUGAAUAUGGGGGGACCAUCCUCCAAGGCUAAAUACUCCUGACUGACCGAUAGUGAACCAGUACCGUGAGGGAAAGGCGAAAAGAACCCCGGCGAGGGGAGUGAAAAAGAACCUGAAACCGUGUACGUACAAGCAGUGGGAGCACAGAGCAAUCUGUGUGACUGCGUACCUUUUGUAUAAUGGGUCAGCGACUUAUAUUCUGUAGCAAGGUUAACCGAAUAGGGGAGCCGAAGGGAAACCGAGUCUUAACUGGGCGUUAAGUUGCAGGGUAUAGACCCGAAACCCGGUGAUCUAGCCAUGGGCAGGUUGAAGGUUGGGUAACACUAACUGGAGGACCGAACCGACUAAUGUUGAAAAAUUAGCGGAUGACUUGUGGCUGGGGGUGAAAGGCCAAUCAAACCGGGAGAUAGCUGGUUCUCCCCGAAAGCUAUUUAGGUAGCGCCUCGUGAAUUCAUCUCCGGGGGUAGAGCACUGUUUCGGCAAGGGGGUCAUCCCGACUUACCAACCCGAUGCAAACUGCGAAUACCGGAGAAUGUUAUCACGGGAGACACACGGCGGGUGCUAACGUCCGUCGUGAAGAGGGAAACAACCCAGACCGCCAGCUAAGGUCCCAAAGUCAUGGUUAAGUGGGAAACGAUGUGGGAAGGCCCAGACAGCCAGGAUGUUGGCUUAGAAGCAGCCAUCAUUUAAAGAAAGCGUAAUAGCUCACUGGUCGAGUCGGCCUGCGCGGAAGAUGUAACGGGGCUAAACCAUGCACCGAAGCUGCGGCAGCGACGCUGAUGCGUUGUUGGGUAGGGGAGCGUUCUGUAAGCCUGCGAAGGUGUGCUGUGAGGCAUGCUGGAGGUAUCAGAAGUGCGAAUGCUGACAUAAGUAACGAUAAAGCGGGUGAAAAGCCCGCUCGCCGGAAGACCAAGGGUUCCUGUCCAACGUUAAUCGGGGCAGGGUGAGUCGACCCCUAAGGCGAGGCCGAAAGGCGUAGUCGAUGGGAAACAGGUUAAUAUUCCUGUACUUGGUGUUACUGCGAAGGGGGGACGGAGAAGGCUAUGUUGGCCGGGCGACGGUUGUCCCGGUUUAAGCGUGUAGGCUGGUUUUCCAGGCAAAUCCGGAAAAUCAAGGCUGAGGCGUGAUGACGAGGCACUACGGUGCUGAAGCAACAAAUGCCCUGCUUCCAGGAAAAGCCUCUAAGCAUCAGGUAACAUCAAAUCGUACCCCAAACCGACACAGGUGGUCAGGUAGAGAAUACCAAGGCGCUUGAGAGAACUCGGGUGAAGGAACUAGGCAAAAUAGUGCCGUAACUUCGGGAGAAGGCACGCUGAUAUGUAGGUGAAGUCCUUCGCGGAUGGAGCUGAAAUCAGUCGAAGAUACCAGCUGGCUGCAACUGUUUAUUAAAAACACAGCACUGUGCAAACACGAAAGUGGACGUAUACGGUGUGACGCCUGCCCGGUGCCGGAAGGUUAAUUGAUGGGGUUAGCGCAAGCGAAGCUCUUGAUCGAAGCCCCGGUAAACGGCGGCCGUAACUAUAACGGUCCUAAGGUAGCGAAAUUCCUUGUCGGGUAAGUUCCGACCUGCACGAAUGGCGUAAUGAUGGCCAGGCUGUCUCCACCCGAGACUCAGUGAAAUUGAACUCGCUGUGAAGAUGCAGUGUACCCGCGGCAAGACGGAAAGACCCCGUGAACCUUUACUAUAGCUUGACACUGAACAUUGAGCCUUGAUGUGUAGGAUAGGUGGGAGGCUUUGAAGUGUGGACGCCAGUCUGCAUGGAGCCGACCUUGAAAUACCACCCUUUAAUGUUUGAUGUUCUAACGUGGACCCGUAAUCCGGGUUGCGGACAGUGUCUGGUGGGUAGUUUGACUGGGGCGGUCUCCUCCUAAAGAGUAACGGAGGAGCACGAAGGUUGGCUAAUCCUGGUCGGACAUCAGGAGGUUAGUGCAAUGGCAUAAGCCAGCUUGACUGCGAGCGUGACGGCGCGAGCAGGUGCGAAAGCAGGUCAUAGUGAUCCGGUGGUUCUGAAUGGAAGGGCCAUCGCUCAACGGAUAAAAGGUACUCCGGGGAUAACAGGCUGAUACCGCCCAAGAGUUCAUAUCGACGGCGGUGUUUGGCACCUCGAUGUCGGCUCAUCACAUCCUGGGGCUGAAGUAGGUCCCAAGGGUAUGGCUGUUCGCCAUUUAAAGUGGUACGCGAGCUGGGUUUAGAACGUCGUGAGACAGUUCGGUCCCUAUCUGCCGUGGGCGCUGGAGAACUGAGGGGGGCUGCUCCUAGUACGAGAGGACCGGAGUGGACGCAUCACUGGUGUUCGGGUUGUCAUGCCAAUGGCACUGCCCGGUAGCUAAAUGCGGAAGAGAUAAGUGCUGAAAGCAUCUAAGCACGAAACUUGCCCCGAGAUGAGUUCUCCCUGACCCUUUAAGGGUCCUGAAGGAACGUUGAAGACGACGACGUUGAUAGGCCGGGUGUGUAAGCGCAGCGAUGCGUUGAGCUAACCGGUACUAAUGAACCGUGAGGCUUAACCUU